AGUGAACGCUGGCGGUAGGUCUAACACAUGCAAGUCGAACGGCAGCACAGUAAGAGCUUGCUCUUACGGGUGGCGAGUGGCGGACGGGUGAGGAAUACAUCGGAAUCUACUUUUUCGUGGGGGAUAACGUAGGGAAACUUACGCUAAUACCGCAUACGACCUACGGGUGAAAGCAGGGGAUCUUCGGACCUUGCGCGAUUGAAUGAGCCGAUGUCGGAUUAGCUAGUUGGCGGGGUAAAGGCCCACCAAGGCGACGAUCCGUAGCUGGUCUGAGAGGAUGAUCAGCCACACUGGAACUUAGACACGGUCCAGACUCCUACGGGAGGCAGCAGUGGGGAAUAUUGGACAAUGGGCGCAAGCCUGAUCCAGCCAUACCGCGUGGGUGAAGAAGGCCUUCGGGUUGUAAAGCCCUUUUGUUGGGAAAGAAAAGCAGCAGGUUAAUACCCCGCUGUUCUGGCGGUACCCAAAGAAUAAGCACCGGCUAACUUCGUG
rnacentral:rRNA from 1 species